rnacentral:tRNA from 1 species
GAGGGUAUAGCUCAGCUGGCAGAGCGCUACGUUGACAUCGUAGAGGUCAUUGGUUCAAGUCCAAUUAUCCUCACCA